GACCCCAUAAAGUCCCCAUAAAGACCCCAUCGACCCCAUAAGGACCCCAUAAAGACUCCCCCGACCUCAGAAGGAUCCCAUACAGACUCCCCCAAUCGCAUAAGGACCCCAUAAAGACCCCAUAAAGACCUCCCAACCCCAGAAGGAAGGACCCCAUAAAGACCCCCCUAGGGACCCCCCUGCCCCCAUAGGGACCCCAUAAAGACCCCCUCGACCCCAUAAGGACCCCAUAAGGACCCCCCUGACCCCAGAAGGACCCCAUAAAGACUCCCCCAAUCCCAUAAGGACCCCAUAAGGCCCCCCCCCGAGCGCUGACCAGUGCAGGACGCGGUGGCGGCCCUCGAAGUCGGCGGGCAGGGCGCUCAUGCGGUUCAUGGUCUCCAGCAGCUCCCGCAGGUCCGGCUGGAUCUGGGCCGGCGGGGGUCAAAGGUCAGGGGUCAAAGGUCAGGGGUCACAGGGUCAAGGGUCACCAGGGCAGGGGUCACGGGGUCUAUGGGGGCGAGGGUCAGGGGGUGACACGGAAGCGAUGGGGUCAGGGCAGAUAUGGGGUAAGGGGUCACGGGGUCUAUGGGGUCAGGGGGUCAUGGGGUUCUGGGGUCGCAGGGGUUAUGGGGUCACUAUGGGGUUAUGGGCGUUUAGGGGUCACGGUAAUGGGGUCUAUGGGGAAGGCAGUUAUGGGGUCACACAGAAGCUGUGGGGUCAGGGCAGAUAUGGGGUAAGGGGUCAUGGGGCCACAGGGGUUAUGGGGUCUAUGGGGUCAGGCGUUAUGGGGUCACGGGAUUAAAGUGGUUAUGGAGAUGCGGGGUUAUGGGGUCACAAUGGUUAUGGGGUCACACAGAGGCUGUAGGAUCAGGGUAGAUACGGGGUCACAGAUCACACAGAUUAUGGGGUCACAGGGUUGCAGGGGUUAUGGGGUCUAUGGGGAACGGGGUUAUGGGAUCAGGGGUUAUGGGGUCACGGGGUCAAGGGUUAUGGGGUCAAGGGGUUGCAGGGGUUAUGGGGUCUAUGGGGUCAGGGGUUAUGGGGUCAUGGGGUUAAAACAGUUAUGGAGAUACGGGAUUAUGGAGUCACAAUGGUUAUGGGGUCACAAUGGUUAUGGGGUCUAUGGGGAAGGGGAUUAUGGGGUCAGGAUAGAUAUGGGGUCAUGGGGUCACAGAGGUCAAGUCAGGGGUCAUGCGGUCACGGGGUCGCAAGGGUUAUGGGGUCUAUGGGGAAAAGAGUUAUGGGGUCACAAGUUAUAGGGUCAUGAGGUCAUGGGUCACCGGGGCAAGGGUCAUGGGGUCAUGAGGUCAUCAGGUCAGGGGUCACAGGGCUACGGGGUCGCAGGGUUUAUGGGAUCGAGAAAGGGGGGUUAUGGGGUCACUAUGGAGUCAGGGGGUCACUAUGGGGUCAUGGGGUCGCAGGGCCACAGCGGGUAUGGGGUUGGGGUCACUGUUGUUAUGGGGUCACAGGGGUUAUGGGGUUAUAGCGGUCAUGGGGUCGCAGGGGUUAUGGGGUCACUAUAGGGUCGCUAUGGGUUAUGGGGUCACUAUGGGGCUAUGGGGUUUGAGGGUCACAGUGAUUAUGGGGUCACUACGGGGUUAU
ensembl:lncRNA